rnacentral:misc_RNA from 1 species
AGCAGCCGCGGUAAUUCCAGCUCCAAUAGCGUAUAUUAAAGUUGUUGCAGUUAAAAAGCUCGUAGUUGAAUUUCGGGGUUAGCAGGUCGGUCGUGCCAUCGGUAUGAACUGGUCUCGCUGAUCCCUCCCUCUUGACGAACUGUGAUGCCAUUAAUUUGGUGUCGCAGGGAAUCAGGACUGUUACUUUGAAAAAUUAGAGUGUUUAAAGCAGGCUCACGCUUGAAUACAUUAGCAUGGAAUAAUGAAAUAGGACGUUUGAUCCUAUUUUGUUGGCUUCUAGGAUUGACGUAAUGAUUAAUAGGGAUAGUUGGGGGCAUUAGUAUUCAAUUGUCAGAGGUGAAAUUCUUGGAUUUAUUGAAGACUAACUACUGCGAAAGCAUUUGCCAAGGAUGUUUUCGUUAAUCAAGAACGAAAGUUAGGGGAUCGAAGACGAUCAGAUACCGUCGUAGUCUUAACCAUAAACUAUGCCGACUAGGGAUCGGAUGAUGUUAAUUUUUAAUGACUCAUUC